rnacentral:piRNA from 1 species
GUGAGGUAAUCGAUCGGUGAGAGG